UCGGAUUUAUCUGCAUUAAUUUGGGCAAAAAUUAAGCUUUACAGAUAAAUUGUUGAGUGUUCUUUUGGUUUAGGUGUACGGUCCUAGUAUGCUACCGACACUGAAUCUUACCGGCGAUGUUUUGCUGGCGGAACACUUAUCGCCGUUGUUGGAUAAGUUGGGACCAGGUGAUGUAGUCCUCGUUCGCUCACCUGAUAACCCUAGAAAGACUGUUACUAAACGCAUUGUUGGCAUGGAAGGCGAUACUGUCACUUUUCUAGCCAACAUGCGUUUAAGUCCUCGUUCGCUCACCUGAUAACCCUAGAAAGACUGUUACUAAACGCAUCGUUGGCAUGGAGGGCGAUACUGUCACUUUUCUAGCCGACCCUGCUAGAAGUGACCGCCAUGUCACCUUAAAGGUGUGCUCUUUUCCUAUGUAAUAAUAUCCUUUUCAAUUCUUGGAUCGAUUACUGAUAGUUGUCAAGUUAGGAGCCAUAGUUCAACUGAUUUUUUUAAUUGGUUAAUUAUAAAACCAUAUGUCUACUCUACAAUAUAGCACGAGUCAUUGUUGUAGUGAAGAAGUUAUAGGAAGGCAUAAACAAAAAUGUCUUAGGAUACGUUCUUCUAACACAGUUUAUUUAACACUCGUGGCUGCAUAAUUUAUAUUCUUGAUGAUUUUUUUAAUAUUCCACUAUAGUCCAAUGUAGUCAUUGGGAUGCAGAUUUACUGUUUUAAUCUUCCUAAUGUUCUGUGUCUUUCUCCUUCCUUAUUGAUGCAAAAGUCUGUCCUCCCUCAGAUUUCUACUAAGUUUGAAAAACUGAUAGCGCACAUAGUUUCUGCAGUGAAUGCUCCUAACUCUUGACGUCUCUUUGCUUCUAUUUAAGCAAAUGCGAGAAAAGGCUGUACCUUUGCUCUUUAGACUUCCUAAUUUCCCCCUUCCAUAGAGCACCAAACAUAUGUAUGAUAC
rnacentral:lncRNA from 1 species